rnacentral:rRNA from 1 species
GUCGUCAGCUCGUGCCGUGAGGUGUUGGGUUAAGUCCCGCAACGAGCGCAACCCCUAUUUUUAGUUGCCAGCGGGUUAUGCCGGGGACUCUAAAGAGACUGCCUACGUAAGUAGUGAGGAAGGGGGGGACGACGUCAAAUCAUCAUGGCCUUUAUGCCCAGGGCUACACACGUCCUACAAUGGCCGGUACAGGGGCUGCAAUACCGCGAGGUGGAGCGAAUCUCUUAAAGCCGGUCUCAGUUCGGAUUGGAGUCUGCAACUCGACUCCAUGAAGUUGGAAUCGCUAGUAAUCGCAUAUCAGAUGAUGCGGUGAAUACGUUCCCGGACCUUGUACACUCC